rnacentral:snoRNA from 1 species
UUGGUUACAUGAUGAAUAAAAUCAAAUCACCAUCUUUCGGCUGAGCUUGUGAUGGAUUUGCUUUUUUCUGAAAAAACUU